UAUAUAUAUUUUUUUUUUUUUUCACAAAGGCAAAUUGGAAGGUCGAUUUUGUCCCAACAAAAACCCUAACUUAGCCGCCACAGGAAGCGGAUGUCAACAACCUCUCCGUCUUCGGAGAGUCGUACGAUACGAAUCCAACGGUCGGAAUAGGUCACCUGCUCCUAUAAGGAACCCUCUCCUCUCGUUUUCUCGUCCUUGCACUUGCAGGGCCGCACCAUUCGUUGCUCUGUUAGGGUUAGGGUUUUGUCGUCGUUUCAACCCUUGGCUUUUGUUGGUUUUGGGGGUUUAGUAUUGGGGUUGCUCGAGUUCUCCGAGGCCUUUGAGGUCCUCUAUCUCUUCUCGUCCUAUGUCGCCUUCUUUGCUUUCAAUCGGUAGGACCUCGCUGGCCUGAUCGAUUGCGUCAUUGGAGAUCCACCGCUCCUUUAGCCAUCAAAAAUCUGCUCGCUAUCCCACUGGCAUCUGAAAUGGGAGCUCAUAUUUUUUUCGGAGGACACAGAGCCGACAGAGCCGAGGGCUAGCUUGAUGAAUGUCUGUAACUUUCUUUUCCACGGGGAUUGAAUCCUGUAAUUCUGUAUAGCUCAGAUUGACAGUAGAAAUUGUACGUGACAGUAGAAGUUCUGAAGGUUGUGAAUUGUGGAACACAGUUUUUUACGUAGUUACAGAUAUAUACAAAAUUAUAGAAGCUACAAUGGAUUGAUUGCCCA